UUUGCGGUCUGCUAAAGUUACAAAGUACCCGUGGCAAUCGUGUUUCAUACAGAGAACAUUUGUGUGUGAUGUUACAGGGUGAGCACUGAGAUUCCUUACCAAUUCACUUAUGUUUCAACUAAACAUGAAGGGAUCACGAGGGGAUAAAACAUCAUUUGACAGCGCUGUGCAAAUUAAUAACUGACAGUGUAGUAAAGGCGCAUGAUGUUACAGAAGCCUUUGCCCUCAGCUCCAUUGCCAAUCGGUUACGAAAUGCACCUAAGAGGAAAGAAAGGCUGGAUGCAGUGUCAUUUAUUAAGUGUUAAGUAAAUGUUUUU